rnacentral:tRNA from 1 species
GGUAUGGUAUAUUAAUUGGUAGAUUACUAGGCUCAUGACCUAGAGGUUGUUGGUUCAAGUCCUUCCCAUGCCU